rnacentral:lncRNA from 1 species
CUCUCACACCUCCCCAUCCUCCGGGCGGUGACGGGAAGCCCGGAAGGGGCGGGCACAAGGCUGUGGAGCGGUGGGGAGGGGCGUCCGCCGAAAGUGGCGGUUUACUUGAGGUGGUUUCCUUAGUGUCCAGUAUAGUUUGACUCUCCGGCCGAGCUCAGGACUCGUACUGCACCAGUGCUAUCUGGGCUGGAGUGGGCUCCCGCGUCCUCUGAAGCAGGCUUUUAUCUGUCCCAGAACUUGCGGGUUCAGCGUUUCUCUCCAUAUCCGGAUACCGAUUACGAAGUCACAGAUGCAAGGACGUAUGGCUCCCCUCAAGAAAUCUCAAAAUUCCACAAAGUUACCCCUGGCUUUAAACCCCACGAAGAGCAAGGACGUGUUAGCAGUGCUGGCUGAGAGGAAUCAAGCUGUAAUCCCAGUUGGGGUAUGGGUGGAACCUGCCUCCCCAAAUAGUUUGGAAAUCCCAGCAUCUACUUCAGCACAUAUGAUUGAAGAAGAACUAAAGGAACAACUACGAAAAAAACAAGAAGCUUUGAGACAUUUUCAGAGACAAGUCAAACACCGAGUCAAUCAACAAAUUAGACUGAAAAAACAGCAACAGCUUCAGAAGUCUUUUGAAGCAGCAGAAAAAGAAGGUUCUAUAGCCAUGCAAUCUUCAGAUCCAGCACACUUCACUCCUAAAGGGACAAGUAUUUUUCCAAGCAAUUUGAAUUCUGCAAUUGGAAGUUCUGGGUUACCUGCUUCCCAGAUGUUUGGGAGUGCAAUAAAAGAUGGAGAGAAUCAGAAUGAAUUAUUCCAACAACAAGCCCAAGCUCUUAGUCAAACCAUGAAACAAGUACGUCACCGGCUGGCAUCCCAUAAAACUGUGAGUAAAAAAAAGUCAUCAGUGUUUCCAGAUGGUAUGAGGAAAAGCUUUUCUAUCCAACAGGAAUCUGACAGUGAGGAAGUAUUAUCUAUUAUAACAAAUGAGAAAGGGAGAGACGAUUUAUUUUGGGGAGACAAGCAGAGUCUCUUUUCUGAAGACAAUGAUAAGCCUUUUAGCAGAGUUCAGAAAGUAAAAUUCAAAAAUCCAUUAUUUGUUGUCAUAGAAGAGAAAGAACAAAAGCAGUCACAUUUUCAGGGUCUUGAAGCCCAGGAUUAUCCUCUGGAAACCAAAGGUGAUUUGAUAGAAGUUCAGAGUAUUGAGCCUGAAAAGAGUAUUGAGCCAGAUGUCCAGGCUGUUGAUCUGGAAGUUCAAGCUAUUGAGCCAGAAUGCCAAGCCAUUGAAUCAGAAGUCCAGGCUUUUAAGACAGAAACUUGGAGUAUUAUGAUAAAAGCCAGUAGCACUGAGAUAGAAAAUAGGAAUAUUGAGUUAAAAGCACAGGAUUUUCUACCCAAAAACCAGGCCUUUCUGCCCAAAUGUGAGGACCAAGAUUCUCUACCCCAAAACCCCUAUGUUCUCCCUAAAGACCAGAAUAUUCUACCCAAAUAUCAGGACCAGAAUUUUCUGCAUAAAAACCAGGAUUUUCUACCCAGAGACCAGGAUAUUCUACCCAAAUGUCAGGACCAAGACUUUCUACCUGAUAAAGACCAGGAUUUUCUAUCUAGAAACCAGCAUGUGUUCCCUGAAGACCAGAAUAUUCUACACAAAUAUCAGGACCAAGAUUUUCUACAUGAUGACCAGGAUUUUCUAUGUAGAGACCAGUGUGUUCUUCCCAAAGACCAGAAUAUUCUUCUCAAAUGCCAGGACCAGGAUUUUCUCCCUAAAGAUCAGUACAUUCUCCUCUCAGAUGAGAAUCUUCUAUACAAAUGUCAGAAGCAGGAUAUUCCACUCAAAGAUCAGGAAAAAUAUAUCUGGCAGCCAUCAUUGGCUUUGACAGUUGAAAGAUGGAAAAAGGAGUGGCCUACAAGAACAGAAACAUAUCUUUCACAUAGGUUCCAAGGCCAGCCCUCUACUGGGGAUCAGUCAGAGAAAAAGGAGGAAGAGGAUCAACAGGAAAAAGUUCAUUUUCUGGAGCCAUUUUCUGAUGAGGAAGGGAGAGAAGACUUUUCUCUGCACAGUAACUAUGGGCAAGCAUCACAUGAUAUGACAGAUGAGAAAUGGAGAAGAGAGUUGCUUCCAGAGUACCACAGAUAUGGUUUACAUAAAAUCCAGGAUCCUGGCUCUGCCAGAGAUCAGAGCUUAAACUUUAGGCAGCAGCCAUCUGUUGGAACAGCUGAAAGAUGCCAAGAAGACUUGCUUCUGAAUCACCAUCAGCAUCUUGCACCCAAGCAUCAGAGAGACACUUGCAGGAGACGACAGGUUUAUAAUGAUUAUCAGUCAGGACUAAGCAAUGAAUUCCAAACUCCAUUGGCAUUUCAGUCUGGAGUAGAUAAAGAGGAAGACAAGAAAGAGCGUCAAAAGCAGUACCUGAGACACAGAAGACUUUUCAUGGAUAUUGAAAGAGAACAAGUAAAAGAACAAAAAAGACAAAAGGAACAAAAGAAGAAAAUUGAAAAGUAAGUUCUUUGAUUUGAUCCUCAUUCUGAGUCUUAAAUUACCUGUUAA